UGACUGAAAGAACAGUUGAAAGAGCUCUACUACCUAAUUAUGACUUAAACUCAGAAGACUUCAGAGAGGAUCAAACCUCACAACAAGGUUCAGAUUAGUUUCCAUGGAAACCAGUCAGGAAUUAAAGGCAUACUCUAUGAUAUCUUGUUGGCCAGGGAUCAAGAGUCUGAAGGAGAGUAGGAAAAGUCCUAACAAUGAGAUCAACAGGAAGAGAAGAUGGGGAGUCUAUCUAGGAUACAGACUUCAUGAGUUGGGGGCAGCCCCUGUCAAAGCAUGAGAAGAUGUGUCCCAUUAAUUCCAAUGGUCUUGUAGAUUGGCUCUGGUGUCCUCCAUUCACAGAGUGUUCAAGAUCCUAGGACCAAGUUGAAAACAGGAAUGGAAGACAAGAAGGUAGAGAGGGAGAAGAAAAGAAGGGUAAAGAUUAAAAUAUCAACUCAAAUGAGGGGACUGCUUCUACUGAUGCACAUCCUUGAAGAGCUGAGUGGUUCAACAUCUUUUCCAGAGUAAUAGAACCAAUAAAUAUU